ensembl:lncRNA
UUUUUUUUUUUUUUGCUUUUAGGGCUGCCCUUGUGGCAUUUGGAGGUUCCCAGGUUAGGGGUCAAAUCAGAGCUACAGCUGCUGGCCUACACCGCAGCCACAGCCAUGCAGGAUCCAAGCCACAUCUGCAACCUACACCACAGUUCACCACAAUGCCAGAUCCUUAUCCCACUGAGCAAGGCCAAGGAUCAAACCCACGACCUCAUGGUUACUAGUGAGAUUCAUUUCCACUGCAUAACAGGAACUCCUUAAGUUCAUUUUUAUAUACGGUGUGAGAAACUAAUCCAAUUUGAUUCUUUUGCAAAUAGCAUCCAGUUUUCUCAACACAAUUUAUUGAAGAGGCUGUCUUUUCCUCAUUGUUUUUCUUACCUCCUUCAUUGUAAAUUAAGUGACCACAUAAGUGUGACUUCAUUUCCAAGCUCUCUAUUCUGUUCCAAUGAUCUAUGUGUCUGUUUUUGCACCAGUACCAUACAGUUUUGAUGACUAUAACUUUGUAGUAUUUUAUUCUUUUUUAUAUUAUUGUAAAUGGUUUGUAUUCUUAAUUUCUCUGAUAGUUCAUUGAAACAUAACAGACUUCUGUAUAUUAAUUUUAUAUGCUGAAAUUUUACUGAAUUCAUUUAUUCUAACAGUUUUUUUGUGGCAUCUUUAGGGUUUUCUAUAUAUAGUAUUAUGUCAUCUGCAAACAGUGAGUUUUACUUCCUUUCCAACUUGGAUUCCUUUUGUUGCUUUUUCCCUGUUUGAUUGUUGUGGCUAGGAUUUCCAAUACUAUGUAAAAUAAAAGUUCUGAUUGUGGGAGUUCUUGUCUUGAUCUCAGAGGAAAUGCUUUCAGCUUUCCAUUGAGGAUGACAUUACUCAGCAGGCUUUUUACAUAAGGAGGCAUGGCCAUUCUCUUGAUAGAAGCUCCCAGAGAAAAUAAGCCACCUCUAUGAUAUACACAACAGACUUUAACAUAUAUUUCUACUCAUUUGGUAAAAUGCUUUCAUGUAGUAUGAAACAAGAUUUUUAAUUUCCAAUAUAAAGCCAUGAAUAUUUUUUCUCUAUAUUAUACAGAUUUCUUUUGUGUGUGUGUGUCUUUUUGCCAUUUCUAGUACCGCUCCCGCAGCAUAUGGAGGCUCCCAGGCUAGGGGUCGAAUCAGAGCUGUAGUCUCCGGCCUACGCCAGAGCCACAGCAACGUGGGAUCUGAGCCGCGUCUGCAACCUACACCACAGCUCAUGGCAACGCCAGAUCGUUAACCCCCUGAGCAAGGGCAGGGACCGAACCCGCAACCUCAUGGUUCCUAGUCAGAUUCGUUAACCACUGCGUCACGACGAGAACUCCUGUAUUAUACAGAUUUCUAAGUAAAUAUAUAUGCCCCUAAUAGAAAGCAGAAUGUUUUAAAUUAUUCUCUGAACCAAAUAAAGAACAACUCUUUUAAAGUACUUUAUUUCUCUAUUAUGGAAAAAAAUGUAGUAAAGAGAUUAGUCUAAUCACCAUCAGAAUAGAGUUCUUACUCAUUGGAGCUUGGUUUAUGUGAUUGGUUACACUAUUCUUGGCAAAUAAUUAUCCUCCAGGCAUACACUGAUCCUUCACACACAUCCCCCACCUCUUCCCCUGCAUUCAGAAAUGGAGGAGAUAGUAUAUCUCACAGAAAAGUGUAAUUGUGAGUAGUGUAGCAGGGAGGUAUUCAAUACUUAUUAUGCCAAGAGACAAUUCUAAAAUCAAUAAGAAAAUCUAUCCAAGGAUGUUGAUUUAGAAAAAAGAAUGCUCUCAGAUUGAGGGCUAAACUAGAUAAUUGCAGUUUUAAAAAAAUAAUGAUGAGUCAUUGCUGCUUUUCUUCCAUUUGCAAAUUUAGACAUUAAAAGUCAGGUAUGUUUUUAGAAGGAAUUGUCAUCUACAAAGACUAAUUGAUUAGGACUGGAAUGAUAUUUACUUGAAAAAUGUGGAGGUCUUUAUAUUAGAAUGUACCUAGAUGUAUAUAAUUCUCAUAUGCUAACUUAAAUAAAACAAAAUUUUUCCUAGUGAGGUUUUUUUUCUAAUAUCCAGUAUUUAAAAUUCUCUUUUUUCAUCUAAUUCAUAUUGUCCAUAGUUAUGUGAUUACCAAAAGCCCAAAGCAAAGUAAAAAUUGUUGUAUGUAUUCUAUUAAAAAAAAUUAUUAACUUUUAAUAAAUAUAAAAACUAAGCCACUUCUUAAAAAUACUCCUGGUUGUAAAAAGUUCAUUUUGAUGUGAAUAGUUGUGAAUAAAUUUCUAGUAACAAUAUUCUUACCAAAGUUACUGGUCUAACAAGCUGAAACAUAAUCUAUGACAAUAAAAAGCUAAGCUUUAGAAAUUGAGAAUAAAAUGUUUCUGAAAUCCCCGAGAUAUUUAUUAAAUGUGGCUUAUCAUAUGUUUAUACUAGCCCAGUCUAUUCCAGGAAUUUUGAUAAGAAAGAGGAUCCAAUAGAGAACAAGGUAGCAACAGCUUACAGUCUAGGAAGGAACAUAUAAUUGAUUAUAUAAUAUUUCAUUUAACUGGAAUUGCAAUAAAAGCUCUGAAAUAAAUGCCAAAUGAAAUGAGAAUUUGUUACAGGAGGACCUGAGAUGGUCUGUGUGAACAGGGGAGAGGUUCUUGAGGAAGAGACAUUUAAACUAACAUGGGGCUGGGUGCCUAAAGAGAACCAGGCAGGGAGAACCAGCUGCAAAUUCUGCAGGCAAAAGGCCAAUGUGAAAAUGUAGGUGGGGCUGGAACAACCAGUGCAGUGGUCAGGGUUUGAAAUUGAUUCUUCAGAGCCAUGGAGGGCUUUGGGAGUAGUCUUCACAAAUGAGGAUGCUGGUUCCCACUGUGGCACAGUGGAGUUCCCGGGAUCAGCAGCCUCUUGGGAGUGCUGGGACACAGGUUUGAUCCCUAGCCCAGUAUAGUGGGUUAGGGAUCUGGUGUUUCCAUAGCUGCAGCUUAGGCCACAGCUGCAGCUCAGAUCUGAUUCCCGGCCUGGGAACUCCAUAUGCCACAGGGUGGCCAAAAAAGGAAGAAAAAAAAGUGAGGAUGCUUUUGAAGAGCUCUCUCUGGAGAGAUCUGGAGAAGGGACUGGCAGAAGGCAGGUCUGAACAUUAGAGAACCAACUGAGAGAUUGGCUGGUCCAGGUGCAAAGGUGGCUUGGCUGGGGGAGCCACAAUGUAGAGAAGCUUGUGGUGUGAUGAGGGACAUGAUAGAAAGAUGUCAGAGAUGACUGUGACCUGAGGAACCUCCACAUUUAACCCAGACAGGAGAAAAGGGGGAAUUUAAGGAAUGCUGAGCAGGUACAGCUGGAAAAGGAAGGACAAAUAGGAAAAUGUGGAAUAUAUUAUAAACCCAAGGUCCCCAGUGUGGGAAGUGGCUGAGAGCAAGGAAGACCGCAGUGUGUCCCCUGGAUUUAGUGACAGGGAGAUACUGGUAACCUCAGCAAGAGCAGUUUAGCAGUAUGCUGAGGGCAAAAGCCACAAUGAAGUGGAUGGACAGUUGAGUCCAUGGUUGGUGAGAAAUGUAGACAAAGGCGGGCAACUAGCACUUUUAUUAAGUUUGGCUGAAAGCAGAGGAGAGAAGGGGUAGAAGCAGGACAUAGAAGGGUCACAUCUUAACAUUUUUAACAUAAAAGUCUAUUCUGCAGCAUGGUCACUGAGCUCUCGUUGUGUGUGUUGCACGUAUGUGUGUCUUUACAGACCAUAUAGGAAAUUUUCAGGACUAUACUUUGAACAGAAAGCAUGAUGACAAUAAGACAUUUGAAUCAUUUUUUGAGCUAAAACACUCAUGAUCUAGUAACUGGGCAAUUACGUGCCUCUCAAUGGGCCGACUACUGUGAAAAGAAGGGAGAAAAGUCACAAGCUGUUAUUUCUCAUUGCAAGAAGCUGGCUAUCUCAGAGUCAAAGCUAUUACACCUAAAAUGAUGCAAUAUAAGCAAGGAAGAAAUUGCUUGCUCAGAACUCACUUAAAAGCUAUUUGGUUGUUGAUUAAGAUGUAGCUUUUUACAUGAAACAUGAGGUCAUUUUGCCUCAAUAAUGCCCAAUUGCAGCUGAAAUACGUCUUCUGCAGAGCUUCAAGUGCAACGCCAUGCUGCCAUCUACUGGCUGCUUCUUAAAUUUUCUUUGACAGUGUUUUUAAUUACAUUAUCACUGGACACCAUUGACUGUUAAUUAGGACAGUGAAAUAUUCGACAAAUGUCACAUAAAAUUUCAACAUAAUAAAAAUGCUUGGAUGCUAUUUUUAAAAGCCAAUUUUAAUAAAUUUCCAAAUUCAUAAUGUCUAAAAAAC